UUGAUUCAUUGUCACCUGAUAUGGGUUGUCUGUUCUUUAGAGGGAGAAAGAGAAUGUGUUGCAAUAAUGGAUGUCUUUCUUUGAGUGAUAUGAAUUUUUGUAGUUGUUUCAAGUGGUAUGAAAACAGCUGUUUCUUUGAGGGAUUUAAAUAAUUUUUUUUCAAUGCAAUGAUUUCUCAUUGAUUUGAACUUAUGUUUGAAGAUAUAAAGAUUAUAAAAAUUUAGUGUCUGCAAGAAAGUGACCUGACCCGUAAGUGGUAGGAGAUGGAUGGGGCAUCAACUAUGUGGAAAGAUCAGAACAGCUGGGAUUAUUCUUUAAAGCAGGGAAUGUUAAAGGUGAAUUAAGUGACUUUCAAAAUUCUCAACAGUUCUAAUAGAGCAAAAAUGAAGAAAUGACUUCCACUGGCAAAGAUUGUUAACUGUGCUACUUUACAAAAAAACUGAUAGAUGAAAAUUCUUUUUCCACGUUGAGUUAUCAUACUUUGUGUGGUUUGUUAGGUGGAAAAUGCGUAUCGUAACUUUCAAAAAGAAAUUGAGUCACUGAAAAUGGCUUUAGAGAAGAGAGGAUAAGUGGAAUUAGUUGGAUAUCUGUUACAAAGACGUGACACUGCCUGGACAGACUGGUCACCUUCCGUCCUGUUAAGAUCUCGUGGAAUGAGUUUGUGUAUAUUGAAUAAUGUUUUUGGUUAAUAGGAUGAUACUUUUACUUCUGGUAUUUUGUUUUCCUGUUUUUUUUUUAAGCCUCCAAGAUAAUUUCCCCAUUCCUGUAAAAUGUUGAGUCUGGUAUUUUCUGGGUGGAGCUAUAUGCUGGUAGGUGAUUUAUCUAACAGCCGUGAUACUUCUGUUUUUGUAUAUGUCUCCAGGCUCCACGAAAUGUGUAUGUGCACCAUAGGAGGAUUUAUAAUUUGAGCUGCAGUUCUUUUUUUAACAUUAUGGGCUUCACUGAUUACAGUGUACAGGAUAAAUGCCAUUGUACUGAAUUAAACAUUUUGUUUAGAUUCAUUAAAAGUUGGCAGAUGUAGUUGCAUUACAAUGAUGUUAAAUUGUAACAGAUAACUAAUCCCCUGUUGUGAUUAGUGUACAAAAGUCUAUUUUAUCAACUGCACACUGCUGCUUGACACUUCUUAUUUUUCUUUUUCCAUCCCUUGGGUAUGUGCUCGUGAAAAUGUAUUGGUUUCAGUUAUUUGCUGGGUUUAGCUUAUUUACUAUAUGAAAUGCAGAGUCUUUUUAAACACUUUACUGAAGGAAUGCAGGCAGUACACUCUGUGGCUUCAAAUUGAAAAGAAGUGCAGCUUUUGGAAUCUUUUGAAAAUAUGACCCUUGGCUAAUACAAAACUUGUGUGCAACCAUGCUGUUUGAACUGAAAAUUGAACUUUCCUCAUGUGUUUGUUUUAACUGUCUGUGUUCAUAUAUCAUCUGUAUGGUAUAAGAACUGUAUAGUCUACCAAAGCAGUAAUGGAGCACAGCACCUUGAAAUGCCCAAAUUUAGAAAAGCUUCAAAUAUUUUCCAUAAGUAGCUUUUUUUCCCAUAAUCCUCACAAUUAAACUAUGCAAACCCAAAUCUUUCUCUAUAGGUUGUGAUAUUGAGGUGAAUCUUUAUUCUGUCACUAGAUUAAUCUCCUUACAUUGGUAUCAAACAUCGAUUAAAAGAUUUAACCAUUAUAAAUUUGAGUACUUUUUAAAAUUUACUGUGCUUGGAUUUCCCUCUGCUUGUUUUUCACCACUGCUUAUUACACUUCUGUUUGUUUAAAGUAGACUGCAGGUUGUUUUGUAUUUGUCAAGUCUGUGAAAUGUUUUAAAGGCAUAUUUUAAAGCAUAUAUUCUUAGUCUUGAGUAUGCAAAGCAAAAUUGUGGGGUAUUUUCCCCAAGAAGAAUAAUAUUACUUAAAUUUCAUAAAUCUUAAUCCACAUCACUGAAAAUGUUGAUGUUCUGAAACAUGCAUUUUUGAUAUUAGGUACAUUGUAGCUUUAAAAUGCUUGCAAAAUAAAAAUUGGUGUGCAAGCAUCUUUUUACUAAA